CUCCCAUCGCGCCCUGCUGCAGUCGCGGCCCCAGGAGGCGCCAGCGCGGCCGAGCGCCUCCUCGCAGCUCCCGCCUCGCAGCCCCGGGGGGGCUCCCCCCUCCAGCCUCUGGGGGAGCUCCAGCCUCUGGGCUCCCGGGGAACAACCGGGCAGCCCCCCCAGGCCUCGGGGCUCCCAGGGUCCCAACGACGGGGUCCGCGGCUGCAUCUCCGACGGCGCUCCGUGGUGUAUCCCCGCUGCGGUGGAGGCCGAGCGAUGGAAGGGUAUGGCUGGGGGUUGGAGGCUCCUUCCCUUCUCAACUCCACCCUGACUUCAUGUGUCCUCAACGAGCAUCGUGGUGGGGCAUGCUAGAGAUGCUGCAUCCAACAAGCUAAACAUCACAUGAAACGCCUGCUCCAUUCCUGAAGACCCGAACAACUUAAGCAGUUCAUCUGGAGGCAUGUGGAGUGCUGUGUGAACAAUUCCCUGUAAAUGCCCCCAACAAUCAAGUAUUGGAUUGGCUGCAGUAUCCCUGCUGUGUUUUGUUCAAAUGUAUAGUUAAACACCAAUGAUGGCUACAUGUUAGAUUGGCAUUUGGAUUUGUGUUUUGCAUUUUCAAUGUUUACUUGUUCAAUUUGAAUUAUUAAGUGAAGCAGUACCCAAUUUAAGUCCAGUCCAUGUGCUCAGAUUUAUGAAUUCGAAGAAAACCUAUAGCUCUUCCAUUACGAAAUACAAUGAUGAAAAAUGUAUUUAAGUGAUUUCAAACAUAAAACAAGAUAGUGCUCUUCAGUUGGUAAAAUAAACUACACAUUUGAUCUUGACUUAAAGCUUUCAUGACUGCAGGAAUUUAUAUUCUUUGGUCUUUUGGUAAAGUCACGAGAUGACAAACGCUUGUGUUGCGAUCGAAACGUCGUACUUUUUUGAUAUUUUUUGUUAUUUUAUUUUAUUUUAACCUAUCUACGUGACUUUACCAAAAGACCCAAAGAAUAUACACAUUUGAUAUUAAUAGCAAGUGAUACUCAUUGUGUUUAACAGUACUCAUUCUAAAUCUAGACAGAUUUAGGUGGCCAAUAGCAAAAUGAAUCUCUGAAUGAUGCAACAUAGGAAUUGGAGUUAGCAAUGUGUCCUUGACAUUGAAUACUUUAAUGCAUUGACUGAGAUGUAUGCUUUUAUCAAUAGUUUAAAUGUCCCAAUUGUGCCACUUUAAAAUGUAGCAGCAUCAACUCUGCUCUCCCUUGUAGGCAGUCCAGUGUUGUAAAUGGGGUUGCUAUGAUGCUUGUGGUCAACUCUUUUAUAGAUUUUCUGCCAUGCUCCUCUGCCAAGAGGGCCAAGUUGUCACAUCACCUUUCAACAUCUCUCGGUUUGUGUUCAUGGAGCCAUUGCCAACGCAUCCCAUAUAUUUAAGAUUGUUAUAGGAAUGUAUCAAUGCAGCAAUUAAUGUACAUUGAUGAAUUCCACAAAACAUGUAAUCGAGCAUGUUAGGUGUAAACAUUUUUUUGCCCAAGUGUCAACUUUCCACUUCACUUUUAUUACAUUUUGUAAUUUUAAAAUUAGGUCUGCCUUUUACUGUACUGUCUUGGGAUGGUUCUUCCACGUUCUAAUCAAUCAUUAUGAUUUCAUCUGGUUCCUGGAAAAUUGAGGCCAUCACCUUACCAGCAAAAGUUCGCACUCUAAAUCCACGUGAUGGUAGUGAUCCACGGUGCACAAAUGAGGGAUUCUUGGUUUUUCUAUCGUCACAAAAACUAAUGACAUUUUCUAGAUUGUGUUGGUACUGGGUCAGCAGCACCUGCCUGUGUCUGACUCGAUCACAUGGAGUUGAUGGGAAGCAUUAUAGAUCGUGCAAGGUCAAAAGUCUCAGAAAUAAAAUGACAUCAUCAAACUUAUCAUUUUUCGAAGUUGGAAAAUGCCCAGACUACUCCUCAGCUUCACAAGACUCUUCUAUGAUUACAUUCUGCCAACUAAUUUACCAUUAAUAUGAUUGGGCAUAUCCUAUUAAUGCAUUUCCAUAUCAUUAGAUAUUGCAGGGCUAAUGCCUUUUGAAGAUCGUUUAUGACUGCACCGUUUAAAAUGUAGCUCUUUUUGUUAAAACAAAGUGAUUUCACUUAUUUUUGUUUUAAAUAACUAGCAAUCCACACGUCCUUUGGAUCUGCCCACAGGUCCUUUGGAUGUGUCCGUCUCUCCAAGCCAGCCAGUAAAACUUUUUAUCUUAUAUAGAGUCUUGCCUCUCUCCACAUUUCUCUUGCCUUGUGUACUUUAUUCCCCAAUUUAUCCAGAUGUUUCACCUUGUCUCUGCUUCUGUCUGCAUCUGUAUUCCUGUUUCCACACUUCCAUAUCUUCUAUAUUCCUCUCCUCCCUCCACUGUAUCUCACCCACUUCCCUCCCCCCUGUCUCCCUGUUCUCUAUCACCCUUUCUCUCUGUAUUCCCACCUUUCCCUUUCCUGUCUCAAUCUUUCUUGCCUCUCCCUAAUCCCCCCACUGCUUGUCGCUUUCUCUCGCUCUUUCCGUUUUGCUCUCUUCCCUUUACAUACCAUGGCCAUUCACUCUCCCGCCCCUCUCCUCUCUAUUCCUCUCCAUCUCUUCCUCUCUGCUAUAUCUCCCUCGGCUCCCUCCUCGAUCGCUUUUGUGUGGGAUGCAUGGCUGGGGUGCGUGACGUCACCACGCACGAACCCGGCUCAACGCUGUGGUAAUGCGGAUGUCAUCACACAGAUUUGCGUUGUGACGUCACUCCUGCAGAUGUGUAUGCCAGGGAAUACGAAUUCACACAGGGAGCAUGCUAUAAUAUUUCAUUUUUAAUAUAGUGUGAGUACGAUUGGGAAUAUCUAAAUUGGAGAUUUAAAACUUAAGUGUGACCUCACUAUGCAGGGAAUUCUGGAAUUAUGAAAAUGGUGUUGGAGAAAGCUUCUAAUGUGCCCCCCUUUGCAGGAGUGGAAAGAUUUAUAUGAUAGUUCACCACACAACGAACAUACUUAACUUGUUGCUAUUAUUAAAUUGUUUGCAAGGGAGAUGACACACAGCUUGCCUACCAGGAUGGUCUGCUUAACUGUUUAAUUAUAAAACUAAAACAUGGCACUUAUAACGAUAUUUAGUAACUAACAUGUUAUUUUGGAAAUCACCAACUUGACUGAAACGUACGUGUGGGUUAUGUACACCUUUCAAUGUGGGCCAUAAAUAGCUGUAGAACUAUUGAUGUUCUUAAUUUGGUAAAAUAAUCUCCAUGGUUUUAAUGAGAAUUAACUGAGCAAGAGACUAAGAAAAUUGUCAGUCAUUACAUAAAUGCAACCUAGUUCAGCUUCGAGAUCAAAGUUUGUAUAUCUGUUGAUAUAUAAGCACAAAACCACCUUACUGGGAGCUGAAAUUUGUUUUUUAGACCGCUGAUAUCUGAGGUGACCAAAGUAGUAUCUGCAAGAAGUUAUUGGAAUGAGUCGUUCUUUGCCUCGUGAAUUGACUGAGAGAAAAUGUAUGUUGGUGGUGAUAUAUUAAUCACAACUUCAAUUUGAGUACUGGAAAUUCGUUCUUCCAAUCCUAAUUGCCAAAGUCUCAAGAUAGUGCCCAAAUAUUGAUUGGUGUUGUGCUAAAUGCUGCACAUUGAACGCAAUGAACACAUGUGUAACCAAGGUUUAUUUCCAUGUUUCAAAUGCCACCUAAAGAACAAUGCGAUUUCACUGUUACCAAAGCAGGACAAUUGAUUCUGCAAGUUAAGGUAAUGUACACCCAUACAUGAAUCAGCAUUAGAUAUCUGCCCCAUUGUUAAUUAUUACCCUAAAUCAAGGUACCGUAUAUUGAAAAUUAUCCAGCUUAUCAAUACAUACAGAAAGCAGAACAAAGGUUUACUAAUGCCAUGGAUAAUUCCCAAAACGGGUAAUAGGAAUACAGUAAAAAGUUAUUACAGUAAUGUUGAGCAGACAUUUUCUAGGGUACUUAGUUAAACAUUUUACCUCCAAAGCAAUGAUGUAAAGGUAUGCUGUGUUCUGCUGUAUUAUGCAUGGAUUUACAAUUCUGAUGGAAGUCUAUACCAGGCAGCCUUCUGCAGCUGUCUGCAAUUUGUCUUUAUUGUUUAUAGAAUUAGAAAAUUUACCAAUGCAGAAAACUACUCUUGGCAGCUAUCAAAGUGGCAAUGCUGCAGAUUUAUUUUCAGUACAAUGAAAUAUGCAGACAAUUUCACUGGGGUUUGCUUACAGUAUUGCAUGCAACGUAAUACACAAUUGUAUUAUACACUGCAUAGCGUGUUCACAAAAGGGCUUGCUCCUGACACUUGUGGGGUUUACCAUUGAGUACUGUUUUACAUUUUCAUGAGUUGCUCUGGCAGCAGUGAAACCUUCUUAUAGCGAUGUUCAAUUAAAAUCACAUUUCACAUUUUAUUUUGGGCGUUAAUGGAUGACGUCAGUGUAAACGUUCCAUAAUCUUAACACGUGCAUCAAGACCCAGUAUGUUUUUUUUGUCAUUUUCAAUUUCCUACACUGAUGUAAGUUUUCAUAUUAUUUUGUUUUAUAUGAUAUGGCUGUCACAAUCGAUUUUUUCUGGAUAAAUAAGAGUUUGUCCAUUCCAUGUAUUUACCCAUACCGGUUAAUGGACAGUGAUUCAUUGUCUGAUGUAAUAGUGCAGUGGCUGAGUAAAAUUCACUCUAAAUGUCAUAGCAACCAUGAUGACAGGUCCACUACCUAACCUGAAUAAUUUGAUGGAUUUGACGCAGAGCUCAAGUGAUAUGGGUACACGGUUGACACCCGGCUUGAAUUGUCAGGGGAAGGGUUUGACAUCUGGCAACACUGACAGGGUGACAUUAAAGACUGGGCUCGAUGUGCGGUCGUGUGACGGGUUCAGAACCCUGCCUGGGUGCAGGUUUGACUUGUGACUUAACGAGCGAUAGGAUAAAGGGGGUCAAGACCACGGCUACUCGUCAUGCAUAAUGUUAAAAAAGUAACUAAUGUGUGCGUCAACGAUUAUUUUUUGUCACGUAAUAAACAAAAUCGCCAGUGACAGCCCACUUAUUAAUAGAUUUUAAGCAUUUAAAUAUGAAUUAAGCGGAACGCUAAAUGGUUUUUUUAUGUUCUGGUGACGUUAUAAAAAUGUUUCACUGUGUAUGUGGCAUUUAGUAACUAGCAGUGUAAUCAAAGCAGUUGUAGUGCUAACUCACAGUAGCUCUUGUAGUAAGUAAACUUUCGUUUAGCCGCUGUUUACGUGAGGCUAGAGGGAUGGUGCAAUAGCCGUUAUCGGCGUCUGAACUUGCAGAGUUCAAAAACAAACAACAAAAUCACCAACGUCUUCCAUUGUAAUGAAUUUUGUUGAGCAAGAUGAAGAAAACAUUAUGUACUGCAUGUUAUACCUUUAACCUUAUAGGGAAGCAUUUUUGGCUAAGGCCGCAUAGUAAAUAGGUAGUGUGCUGCCGUAGCCAGUAUGUACAUACAUCGUUACUAAUAAUAAGGCACCACUGUGCCAGUACGCCUAUGGAAUAUGCUAUGCAUGCAUUAUUAAAUCUGCACAUAAUUCGUAAUCGCAUAUAUUGGAACUUGAGACAUAAUCGAGUAACCUUGUAUCCUGUAGUGUGAACACAAUGGGUUUCUGCAUGCUGCUGUGUUGUUUUACACUUUUAUGCAUGCAUAAAACCAGUAAUAAUGAUAGGCUUGCAGGAUUGUGUGGGUGUGGAGGCUGCUGUGGGGGAAGGUACUGUUAUGGCUAUUUCACUCCUGGAUCUCAUGUUUUGCAUAUGGGCAUGCUUGACUUACCUUAUAUCCAUGCAUCUUAAGAGCCAAUGCAAACUGAUUCUGUGAAAAGCUUGUCACACUCUGCAGCAUAAGCAAGAAUGCUCGUCUUAUGUACAACUGAGCUACUUCACAAGAAACAUUUGCCAAAUUUGUCUACGCCAUUAAUUGAUGUGCGGCAAACGUCCAAUCAAUUGGAAGGAGCCACGCAUAAAAUAUGACAGCAAUUAAAUACCAGCGUGUGUUGCAGUAAAGUAUUUUAUCUUUACAAAAUUUCCUGUUCUUCAAGAGCCAAAUCGUCAACUGUUUUGCAAUGCACAUAAUUUCAGAUGAAUGAAAAGGUGGCAACAAUGUAAUUUUAAAGGUCAGUGGGUACAUUAGAUGGAAGCAUGCCAUUAUAAAACAGCAUUGCAAAUAAGUACAUUCUACAACGUCAGUCAAAACAUUUUAAGCUUACCUUUGAAAGUUAUUCCAUUCGCUAUGGGUUUCGUAGUUGCGUUUUAUUAAAAUGUUAACAUAAAAUGUGCUUAAAAUGUUGUUCUACAUAGUGGGGCAACUGCGAUAGUUCAUCCUUUGUCCACUUUUGAGCUUUUCUCUGAAAAUGUGGAGUUGCGGGUAGAGUAAUAACCAUGAGUGCUAUUCCUGUCCUGUUAAGUGUCCUGCGCAAAGGAUGCGGCAGCCACCCGGCCAUCUCCCCCUUAUUGAAAUAGAACAAUAUAUGCAAGCAUUAAGUAUUAGCAAUAACACGUCAAUGACUAAAAGCAAUAUGUUUUCUUAGAUGUGUCCAGUGCUUAUACAACGAAGUGUAGAUGUGGUUUUCAUUCUGGCGGUAGAUAGAACCAUGAUUUUAACUUGCUGUGUUUGUGGUGCCUAGGGCUGGAAAAGUAAUGGCCUGCGACCUGCUUUCCCGACCACUCGCUUGGCAUGCAUUGCCACUGAGCAAGUUGUAUGGUACCGUACAUGAUGCCAGCUUACAGUGAACCAGUCGGCAACCAAUGUUUUAAGCUUCAUUUCGGAGACAUUAAAGUUCCCGGCAGCAUUUUAUUUGGACAAACGUCCUAUUUUAACGGUCAUGUUAUGCUGUUACAAAUUUUAUUCAACAGUAAAAUUACACACUCGAUAAGAAUGUGAUAUGAAGUAGAGUGUUGACUGCUUCAUUAUUGUUAAGUAAUUAUAAAUAACUAUGCAAAAUAAACAUUGUGUUAACAUCACUAAUAGGUUGUUGUAAUCUGACUAGUUUGGGAACCUGUCAGGUUGCAGGGUUCCAGGCUACCGAAACACAUGAAGGAGACAGUUCUCCUAUAACGUGGUAGUAGUUGCGUUCCUAAAGAACACCGCGCUAUGGAAAACCGCGUUAUAAUAAAUAACAGCGUAAAGCACAGUCCGCGAUGCGUAUGCCGAACAAAGACGGAUGCGCGUGAGUCGCAUCUCGAAGCAUCCAGAAGCAUCCAGCAGCAUCCCGUCUCGUGUGCGAUGCUACGACCGCUUAUUCCGACUCUGCGGGACGUCAGUUCCGUUCACUCGAUCGCGUUAUGUCCAAUUAGCAUUCGCGUUAUAAAAAAAUGUGUCCUCGUACAUUCAUCGUCGCGUUGUAACCAAUUCGCGUCAUGAAAACAACACGCGUUAUAGGAGAACACCGUAUUCAUGAGGAUGAGGUAUCAUUGUGUGUUGCCUUUUCUGCCCUGUCGGUACACAAACUAAUGUUUGGGCAUGUAGACGUGUUGCUUUGCCCAACAAUUACUCGCUGAUGCAUAUAUUUACGUAAUUGCUGAAGGGAAGGAAAUGUAUUUGAAUUUCAGCAGCAGGUUUAUGGUUUUAAAACUGAUUCAUUUUGGUGCUGCAUGAUGGAUUGUAUAUUUAUCGUAUGAUUUGCUUUUAUACUAAUCAGCUAAUAUACUAUUACAUAUAGACAAAAUGUAGGCAUCAACAAACAUACAAGACAUUUGCAUGGACUGUGCUCUGGAACGUUGAGUCGGACGGUGGUUGAUUGAAAUAUAAGGAUGGACCUUGUUAAGGGUUGUAAGUGCUUGAACAAAAAAAAGCAAUAAAAGUGAUGCAUAGA